UACGUAGGGGGCUAGCGUUGUCCGGAAUCAUUGGGCGUAAAGCGCGCGUAGGCGGCCCGGUAAGUCCGCUGUAAAAGUCAAAGGCUCAACCUUUGAAUGUCAGUGGAUACUGCCGGGCUAGAGUCCGGAAGAGGAGAGUGGAAUUCCUGGUGUAGCGGUGAAAUGCGCAGAUAUCAGGAAGAACACCAAUGGCGAAGGCAGCUCUCUGGGACGGUACUGACGCUGAGACGCGAAAGCGUGGGGAGCGAACAGG
rnacentral:rRNA from 1 species